AGUUCUUUCUGUUUUGUCGAAACAAGCCUAGAAGCAGAUGCAAGUCUGAGCUCUGAGCCCAUGACCCUGGUUUGUCCUUGAAGUAUGAGGCUGGUGACUGUAGUGACCGUGUUUCUGACCUUGGGGAAUGUGAUUGAUGCUAAGACCACCCAGCCAGACUCCAUGGAUUGUGCUGAAGGAGAAAAUGUAUACCUGCCUUGUAACCACUCUACCAUUGGUGGAGAUGAAUAUGUACAUUGGUAUCAGCAAAAUCCCAAUCAGAGUCCACAGUAUGUCAUUCACGGCUUACAAGGCACAGUGAACAGCAGCAUGGCCUCUCUGCACAUAGCUCCAGACAGGAAGUCCAGCACCCUGGUCCUGCCCCAGGUCACCCUGAGAGACGCCGCUGUGUACUACUGCGUCCUGAGAGUACAAAACUUCAGUCACCAACUUCUGUGGGGUUGA